AAUGGAUUCGUAAUAUUUAACCCGAUAAUGAUUUAAUCUGGCAUUCCGAACGUAUCAGGAGUGAAGAGAGGAAAACAGUAAAUCAAAUAUACAAAAAUUAUUACUAGAUAAUUUGAAAUGUUUAUUUUAGAUGGUCAGAAUGGGUUGAAUAUGGAACGACCACGCGGCUAUUGUAAUUUUGAAAUAAUAAAUUGGAUUGUAUAAUAGUCCGGACCAAUAACAUAGUCUGGAUUAUAUGGAUCAUCACAUUUUAGUCAACCCGAACCAGGAAUCCGGUGUUUGUAUUGAUUCAGAUUAAGUGUUCAGCACUAAUGCGAAUCGAGUAUAAAAAAACGUAAAGUCGGUUUAAAAUCUAAAGAAUGAUUUUUAAAUUAGAUUUUGCAUCUGUAAUCUGUAUAAGUGAAUGGGAUACAAAAACAAAAC